GUUAGACUUGUGUAUCGUAAGACCGAUGAUGUUGUGUAUAAAGAUCCUCCGGAGAUUGAAAUUUAUUCGAUUAAUAGUGGGGUUUGGAGGAGAGUGAUUGGGGUUGAGAUUAAGCAUUGUGUAGUGGAGUUUAUGUGGUCUCAGGUUUUUGUGAAUGGAGUUGUACAUUGGAUUGCGUAUGAUGUGGUUGCGAAUGGUGGUGAACUUCGGAGUUUAGUUAUGACGUUUAGUAUAGCGGAUGAGGUGUUUGGGGAGAUUAUGUUGCCGGAUGCUUUAGUUGGUGUAAUUGCAACGAAUUUAUCGGUUCUGUUGUUUGAGGAAUCGCUUGCUGUUGUUAAGUAUGAGAGGGAGAUAGAUGUUGCUUCAUGUGAAG
rnacentral:misc_RNA from 1 species